rnacentral:rRNA from 1 species
GGCGGACGGGUGAGUAACGCGUGGGAAUCUACCCAGUAGUGGGGGACAACUACCGGAAACGGUAGCUAAUACCGCAUACGCCCUAUGGGGGAAAGGCUUCGGCCGCUAUUGGAUGAGCCCGCGUCAGAUUAGCUAGUUGGUAGGGUAAAGGCCUACCAAGGCAACGAUCUGUAGCUGGUCUGAGAGGACGAACAGCCACACUGGGACUGAGACACGGCCCAGACUCCUACGGGAGGCAGCAGUGGGGAAUAUUGGACAAUGGGCGAAAGCCUGAUCCAGCAAUGCCGCGUGUGUGAAGAAGGCCUGCGGGUUGUAAAGCACUUUCAGUUGGGAAGAUGAUGACGUUACCAACAGAAGAAGCACCGGCUAAAUCCGUGCCAGCAGCCGCGGUAAUACGGAUGGUGCGAGCGUUAAUCGGAAUUACUGGGCGUAAAGCGCGC